rnacentral:lncRNA from 1 species
GCUUCUUUUUUCUUUCUUACAAAAUUCUGUUUACCAGAAGAUAAAUCUCAUAGAGAAAUAGAUUGAACAAAUCAUACGAUUAGCAGGAUCUUCUUACUCUUCCGGAGCACCUGAGAUCUGCCCUUGUUUUUUUGUGGGGAUCGUGUUGCUUAGUCCUUGGUUUUUAUGUUGUGCCUUUUGUACUAUUAUUUGUCUGUUUGUCUUUUUAUUUUUAGCCAUGGCGUUGUCAAUUUAUUUUCAAUCCAUCAGUUUGACUGUCCCUAUGGAAUCUUUCGUCCCUCUUUCAUACGAAUAUGAAGUCGCACAUGAUAUCUACUCUCGUUAUCUAAAUUCAAUAACAUUAUUAUAAACUCGACAUUGG